UACGUAGGUGGCAAGCGUUGUCCGGAUUUAUUGGGUUUAAAGGGUGCGUAGGCGGUCUAUUAAGUCAGCGGUGAAAUACUCCAGCUUAACUGGAGGGGUGCCAUUGAUACUGAUGGACUUGAGUCAAGUCGAUGUAGGCGGAAUUGACGGUGUAGCGGUGAAAUGCUUAGAUAUCGUCAAGAACACCAAUAGUGAAGACAGCUUACUGGGCUUAAACUGACGCUGAGGCACGAAAGUGUGGGGAUCAAACAGG
rnacentral:rRNA from 1 species